rnacentral:rRNA from 1 species
CAACUUUCAACAACGGAUCUCUUGGUUCUGGCAUCGAUGAAGAACGCAGCGAAAUGCGAUAAGUAGUGUGAAUUGCAGAAUUCAGUGAAUCAUCGAAUCUUUGAACGCACAUUGCACCUCUCGGUAUUCCGGGAGGUAUGCCU